GACGAGGGAUCCUAGCGUUGUUCGGAAUCAUUGGGCGUAAAGCGGGUGUAGGCGGACUUAUAAGUCAGGUGUGAAAUCCCAGGGCUCAACCCUGGAAGUGCACUUGAUACUGCAAGUCUUGAAUGUGGUAGAGGCUAUUAGAAUUCUUGGUGUAGUGGUGAAAUACGUAGAUAUCAAGAGGAAUACCGGAGGCGAAGGCGGAUAGCUGGGCCAACAUUGACGCUGAGACCCGAAAGCGUGGGGAUCAAACAGG
rnacentral:rRNA from 1 species